rnacentral:rRNA from 1 species
ACUCUCGUGUCAGAGUUUGAUCCUGGCUCAGGACGAACGCUGGCGGCGUGCCUAAUACAUGCAAGUCGAACGAAACUUUCUUACACCGAAUGCUUGCAUUCAUCGUAAGAAGUUGAGUGGCGGACGGGUGAGUAACACGUGGGUAACCUGCCUAAAGAAGGGGAUAACACUUGGAAACAGGUGCUAAUACCGUAUAUCUCUAAGGAUCGCAUGAUCCUUAGAUGAAAGAUGGUUCUGCUAUCGCUUUUAGAUGGACCCGCGGCGUAUUAACUAGUUGGUGGGGUAACGGCCUACCAAGGUGAUGAUACGUAGCCGAACUGAGAGGUUGAUCGGCCACAUUGGGACUGAGACACGGCCCAA